rnacentral:snRNA from 1 species
AUGCUUGCUUAUCUAGUACAUAUACUAAAAUUGGAACGAUAGAGAGAAGGUUAGCAUGGCUCCUGCACAAGGAUGACACACAAAUUCCUGAAGCAUUCCAUAUUGAA